rnacentral:tRNA from 1 species
CAGAGCGUAGCUAAAUAGGGGAGCAUCUCCGUUACACCGAGAAGACACCCGUGCAAUUCGGGUCGCACUGA